rnacentral:misc_RNA from 1 species
GAUGAAGAACGUAGCGAAAUGCGAUACUUGGUGUGAAUUGCAGAAUCCCGUGAACCAUCGAGUCUUUGAACGCAAGUUGCGCCCGAAGCCGUCAGGCCGAGGGCACGCCUGCCUGGGCGUCACACGCCGUUGCCCACCCCGCGCCCCGCACCCAACUCUUUGGGAGCGACCGCGGGGCGGGCUGAUGAUGGCCUCCCGUGCGCUCCGCCGCGCGGUUGGCCCAAAUACCGAGUCCCCGGCGACGUGCGCCACGACGAUCGGUGGUUGAGAGACCUCUGUCGCAAGUCGUGCGCGCCCGUCGCGUCACGCGGGCUCGCAUAGCGCCUCGCGCCGCACCCGGUGCGGAGCUUUCAACGCGACCCCAGGUCAGGCGGGGUUACCCGCUGAAUUUAAGCAUAUCAUAAGCGGAGGA